rnacentral:rRNA from 1 species
AUGAACGCUGGCGGCGUGCCUAAUACAUGCCAGUCGAGCGCACGGACGAGAAGCUUGCUUCUCUGAUGUUAGCGGCGGACGGGUGAGUAACACGUGGAUAACCUACCUAUAAGACUGGGAUAACUUCGGGAAACCGUAGCUAAUACCGGAUAAUAUUUUGAACCGCAUGGUUCAAAAGUGAAAGACGGUCUUGCUGUCACUUAUAGAUGGAUCCGCGCUGCAUUAGCUAGUUGGUAAGGUAACGGCUUACCAAGGCAACGAUGCAUAGCCGACCUGAGAGGGUGAUCGGCCACACUGGAACUGAGACACGGUCCAGACUCCUACGGGAGGCAGCAGUAGGGAAUCUUCCGCAAUGGGCGAAAGCCUGACGGAGCAACGCCGCGUGAGUGAUGAAGGUCUUCGGAUCGUAAAACUCUGUUAUUAGGGAAGAACAUAUGUGUAAGUAACUGUGCACAUCUUGACGGUACCUAAUCAGAAAGCCACGGCUAACUACGU